CCUGGCUCAGAUUGAACGCUGGCGGCAUGCCUUACACAUGCAAGUCGAACGGCAGCGGACCUUCGGGUGCCGGCGAGUGGCGAACGGUGAGUAAUAUAUCGGAACGUACCUUUCAGUGGGGGAUAACGUAGCGAAAGUUACGCUAAUACCGCAUAUUCUGUGAGCAGGAAAGCAGGGGAUCGCAAGACCUUGCGCUGAUUGAGCGGCCGAUAUCAGAUUAGCUAGUUGGUGAGGUAAAGGCUCACCAAGGCGACGAUCUGUAGCGGGUCUGAGAGGAUGAUCCGCCACACUGGAACUGAGACACGGUCCAGACUCCUACGGGAGGCAGCAGUGGGGAAUUUUGGACAAUGGGCGCAAGCCUGACCCAGCCAUGCCGCGUGUGUGAAGAAGGCCUUCGGGUUGUAAAGCACUUUCAGUCGUAAAGAAAAGCUCUGGGUUAAUACCUCAGGGCCAUGACGUUAGCGACAGAAGAAGCACCGGCUAACCCCGUG
rnacentral:rRNA from 1 species